rnacentral:rRNA from 1 species
GACAGAGGCCCCAAGCGUUAGGCGGAAUCACUGGGCUUAAAGCGUGUGUAGGCGGAUCGUUAAGUGUCUUGUGAAAUCCCACGGCUCACCCGUGGAACUGCUGGGCAUACUGGCGAUCUUGGGCCAACUAGGGGCAGCCGGAACAAGCGGCGGAGCGGUGAAAUGCGUAGAUAUCGCUUGGAACGCCGAAGGUGAAAACAGGUCGCUGGGGACGCGCCGACGCUGAGGCACGAAAGCCAGGGGAGCAAACGGG